rnacentral:rRNA from 1 species
UACAGAGGGUGCGAGCGUUAAUCGGAAUUACUGGGCGUAAAGCGUGCGUAGACGGUCAUGUAAGUCGGGUGUGAAAGCCCCCGGGCUCAACCUGGGAAUUGCAUUCGAGACUGCAUGGCUAGGGUGCGGAAGAGGGAAGCGGAAUUUCCGGUGUAGCGGUGAAAUGCGUAGAUAUCGGAAGGAACACCAGUGGCGAAAAGCGGCUUCCUGGUCCAGCACCGACGUCAGGCACGAAAGCGUGGGGAGCAAACAGG